GUACACACACACACACACACACACACACACACACACACACACACACACACACACACACACACACACACACAUACAUACAUACAUACAUACAUAGUACAUACAUACAUACAUUUGAUAGUUGUUCCCUAUAGCCGGGCUUUUCAACAACCAUUUACAUUGAAAUUAGUAGAAUCGGUAACAGACAUAAAAUAAAUCGAGAUAGACUGCAAGCUUACAAAUGGCACUUUAAGCUGCUGCUGUUAGUCCAUGUCCCUUUUAAUAGCCUAACAUGCCACCUUGUUGAUUUUGUAGAAGGGGGAACCAGAACUCGUACCCGGGGGAAAAACCCUCGUUCAGCACAGGAGAG